AGAAGCUGUCGAGAAGAGAAAGCCACGUCGAUCGAUGCAGCACUCUGGACGUCGAUCGAUGGAGAUCCCAGAUCGUGGGCCUUGUAUAUAUUAUGACUGCGUGAAGCCCAGAAGCCACAAAUUACCAGAAUGCCCUUGGACGACCAGAAACCCUAUUUAUGUCAUUUCUAAGCCAUUGUUGACGGCUACGCUUUCUAGACUUCUUUAGCUUUCAUUUCCAUUGUUUCUCUGAGAGGAAAGAAGGGAGGAACUCCUAUCAGA
rnacentral:lncRNA from 1 species